GAUGAACGCUAGCGGCAGGCUUAACACAUGCAAGUCGAGGGGUAGAAGGUGCUUGCGCCUUCGAGACCGGCGCACGGGUGCGUAACGCGUAUGCAAUCUGCCUUGUACUGGGGAAUAGCCCGGAGAAAUCCGGAUUAAUGCCCCAUGGUAUUUUUGUGUGGCAUCCCACGAUUAUUAAAGAUUUAUCGGUACAAGAUGAGCAUGCGUCCCAUUAGUUAGUUGGUGUGGUAACGGCACACCAAGACGAUGAUGGGUAGGGGUCCUGAGAGGGAGAUCCCCCACACUGGUACUGAGACACGGACCAGACUCCUACGGGAGGCAGCAGUGAGGAAUAUUGGUCAAUGGGCGCAAGCCUGAACCAGCCAUGCCGCGUGCAGGAUGACGGCCCUAUGGGUUGUAAACUGCUUUUAUACGGGAAGAAACACCUCUUCGUGAAGAGGCUUGACGGUACCGUAAGAAUAAGGAUCGGCUAACUCCGUGCCAGCAGCCGCGGUAACAC
rnacentral:rRNA from 1 species